GCUUUUUGCAUUUGCACAACCAGGUCAGCAUUUGGGGUAGCGCUCUUUUGUGGUUCAGAUUCUAUUUUGUUGACAGAACUUUUUGUGGUCACCUUGGUUGGUCAGUCCCGCACUGCCCCACUGUCGUAUGUUUUACAGGAUUACUGUAAUACACUUUAUUUUGAAGUCAGCCAAUCCUCCCUCAAGUGUCUCCAGUUGGUCCAAAAUGCUGCUGCUCGCCUCCUAACUAGUACUCUUGAGAAGGAGCACAUAAUUCGAACCCUCGCACUUUCUGUCCCCAGUCGAAAAGACCAGGGCUCGCUCAGGUCCCCGAGAGUGCGGCACUUUGAGUAACCCUACAGCACAUUCUAACAACGCUGUGCAUUUCCAAACAGUCACACGCUCGGUUUGCAUUUAUGAUGCUUAACUGGAUUAAUUAUCAUAGUUGGUGGUAUCUUGUGUUCAAAAAAAUACAUUGUAUAGGUUUAAAGUUCCCACAGGUGCUAUGUCACGGUCCCCUUCGGCAUUUAGCUAGGCGACAAGGAAUUGGCUUUGCACGUUUUGCCUACAGCGCAAAAAGGCUGCGCAUAUACCGGACUGAUAUUCGUGAGAGCAUCGAUAUAUCGAUACCAGGGAAACAUAAUCUGAUAUUCCAAGUCCAACUAAGAUCCAAAGUUGCAUGCUAGCGAAAACUUGUUUGAAAGAGCAGUUGAAACUGCAGUGCUGUAAACUACACCACUCCUUUGUUGUAGUCAUAGAAAUCCACUUCCUGUGUCCACUCCCAGGAAAAUGACAGAAAUACAGAGUGAGACAGGAAGCACAACUGAGAGUGCUCCAACAUAACAUGUUAUUUAUGUCCACAUAUUUACCGAAAUAGAAAACCUAUGACUUUUUUGCAGACCUACAGUAUCUUUUUAAGAUUAAAGGGUUACAUACAGGCAAUUUGAAGACAAACAAGUCAAACAACCAGCUUUAUAUUAGUCACUGAAAACGUGUUGCGGGCAAAGACAACAAAGCUCGUUUUACAGCAUCGGCAGCAGUAGAGAGUGUUAGAUGUAAACAUUUAUCGCUAUGAAACAUACACAACAAAGUUUUGUUAUGUUCUUUUACCACGUCGAGAUUAGUGCCUUCACGAUGACAUUUAUGGACUUUUAACGGUAAUGUUUGGCAGACAAACUGGUUCAUGAGACAGCUGCCGAAGAACAUGUGGCAUCUCUCUGGCAGAUGACUGCUGUUCUCUCUUCAAAGACUUCGGUCCUGGAAUAAAACGUGCAUUUUGAGUAACCCAAACACAGGCGGACACUUCUAACUGAGGGCAUCCAGCAUGCGAUGAUGACAUAGGACAAACUUAGAAGCUGUCUGCAAGACCGGCAUGGCUGCAUUCUUAAGAAGAGAGUGACUGUGAGGAUGAUCCAGACUUGGUUGCAGUCGAUCAACAGCAAGAAGCCUGUUAAUGGAUGACCCGUCAAAGAUGCUGUCAUUCUUCAGUUUGCAGGGAAGCGUUCCUGAAGCUCUCACUGUUUCUUCUGAGGAAGGGGCCCAAAGGCUGUCUAUCUGCCUGCAGCAGACGGCGGUCUUUUUGAAAUCUGAGCCCAAUCCUGCAGUCAGAGCUGCAGUCGACAGACAAACAGCAAGAACUGCUGUUUGAUCAAGAAGCACAGCGGUGUCGUCGACUUCAAGAACAUGGCAAAGAUAUUUGGGAGACCAUUUAGGAAAGAUCAUGUCAAUAUAACAUUACCUUGCUUUAUCAUAAAACCACAUGUUGCUUGAUCAUUUGUUGAACUGUGACCAAAAUAAAAGUUGACAUUUUACAAAUAUCAAA